rnacentral:rRNA from 1 species
UACGUAGGGGGCAAGCGUUGUCCGGAUUUAUUGGGCGUAAAGAGCGUGUAGGCGGCCAUACAGGUCAGCUGUGAAAACUCGAGGCUCAACCUCGAGACGUCGGUUGAAACCGUUUGGCUAGAGUCCGGAAGAGGAGAGUGGAAUUCCCGGUGUAGCGGUGAAAUGCGCAGAUAUCGGGAAGAACACCCGUGGCGAAGGCGGCGCUCUGGGACGGUACUGACGCUGAGACGCGAAAGCGUGGGGAGCGAACAGG